UACCAAACUAGGGAUAUCCCCUUUCCAACAAAAAAAGAAUUAUCAAAAUCGGUACAUCCAGUAUAAAGUUAUGCGGUAUAAUACAACGUAGGUCGACGAAAAAAGCGUCAAGUAAAAACGCAUUAUUAGAUAUAGCUCGAAAAGUCGUUGUUAGAUCUCAAAUAAAUUUAAAUGGGACCAAUUGGCACACACCACCUUUCGAUUAAAAGAAAAUUUGUCGAUAUCGCUCCACCCAGUCAAAAGUUCUGAUGUAACUUACAUAAAAAAAAAAAAUACAGUCGAAUUGAGAACCUCCUCCUUUUUUGGAAGUCGGUUAAAAAAAA
rnacentral:misc_RNA from 1 species